GAUCAUGGCUCAGGAUGAACGCUAGCUACAGGCUUAACACAUGCAAGUCGAGGGGGAACGAUAUUGGAAGCUUGCUUCCGAUAGGCGUCGACCGGCGCGCGGGUGAGUAACGCGUAUCCAACCUGCCCACCACUUGGGGAUAACCUUGCGAAAGUAAGACUAAUACCCAAUGAUAUCUCUAGAAGACAUCUGAAAGGGCUUAAAGAUUUAUCGGUGAUGGAUGGGGAUGCGU
rnacentral:rRNA from 1 species